AACGAACGCUGGCGGCAUGCCUAACACAUGCAAGUCGAACGAGACCUUCGGGUCUAUUGGCGCACGGGUGCGUAACGCGUGGGAACCUGCCCUUAGGUUCGGAAUAACUCCCCUAAAGGGGUGCUAAUACCGGAUAAUGUCUUCGGACCAAAGAUUUAUCGCCGUUGGAUGGGCCCGCGUUGGAUUAGCUAGUUGGGAGGGUAAAAGCCUACCAAGGCGACGAUCCAUAGCUGGUCUGAGAGGAUGAUCAGCCACACUGGGACUGAGACACGGCCCAGACUCCUACGGGAGGCAGCAGUGGGGAAUAUUGGACAAUGGGCGAAAGCCUGAUCCAGCAAUGCCGCGUGAGUGAUGAAGGCCUUAGGGUUGUAAAGCUCUUUUACCCGGGAUGAUAAUGACAGUACCGGGAGAAUAAGCUCCGGCUAACUCCGUG
rnacentral:rRNA from 1 species